UCGUGUUAAGGAUGGAAGUGACAUCCUUUUUGUUUUUCACAAAAAGAUAUAACGGACAGCCUGACUUUUG
rnacentral:sRNA from 1 species